rnacentral:rRNA from 1 species
GGCUCGGUCGGGACUCGCGGUCACCUCCCACCCGUGUCUCUCUCUACCUGUUGCUUUGGCGGGCCCACCGGGGCCACCCGGUCGCCGGGGGACGUCCGUCCCCGGGCCCGCGCCCGCCGAAGCGCUCUGUGAACCCUGAUGAAGAUGGGCUGUCUGAGUCGAAUGAAAAUUGUCAAAACUUUCAACAAUGGAUCUCUUGGUUCCGGCAUCGAUGAAGAACGCAGCGAAAUGCGAUAAGUAAUGUGAAUUGCAGAAUUCCGUGAAUCAUCGAAUCUUUGAACGCACAUUGCGCCCCCUGGCAUUCCGGGGGGCAUGCCUGUCCGAGCGUCAUUUCUGCCCUCAAGCCCGGCUUGUGUGUUGGGCGUGGUCCCCCCGGGGACCUGCCCGAAAGGCAGCGGCGACGUCCGUCUGGUCCUCGAGCGUAUGGGGCUUUGUCACUCGCUCGGGACGGAUCGGCGGAGGUUGGUCACCACCACAGUUUUACCACGGUUGACCUCGGAUCAGGUAGGAGUUACCCGCUGAACUUAAGCAUAUCAAUAAGCGGAGGA